rnacentral:rRNA from 1 species
GACGAACGCUGGCGGCGUGCUUAACACAUGCAAGUCGAACGGAAAGGCCCCUUUGGGGGUACUCGAGUGGCGAACGGGUGAGUAACACGUGAGUAACCUGCCCUUGACUUCGGGAUAACUUCAGGAAACUGGGGCUAAUACCGGAUAGGAAUCCUUGCUGCAUGGUGGGGGUUGGAAAGCUUCGGCGGUUUUGGAUGGACUCGCGGCUUAUCAGCUUGUUGGUGGGGUAGUGGCUUACCAAGGCUUUGACGGGUAGCCGGCCUGAGAGGGCGACCGGCCACCUUGGGACUUAGGGGCGGCCCCAGCUCCUAAGGGAGGCCACAGGGGGGAAUACUGCACCAUGGGCGGAAGGCUGGUGCAGCAACGCCGCGGGCGGGAAGGCCGCCUUCGGGUUGUAAAACGGUUUCAGGAGGGGCGAAGCUUGUGGUGACGGUACCUGCAGAAGAAGCACCGGCUAACUACGUG